AUACCUUUCUCGGCCUUUUGACUAAGAUCAAGUGUAGUACAUGUAUUCUUAUGGGUUAUACGCCUACAACGAUAUUAAAUUUAUUAUUUAUGGUAUUAAAUUUAUUAUUUAUGAGAAAGAGUCCAUCAUACUAGCUUGUUAAAGGGGCCCUCAAGUGUCACCUAGGUCUAGCGCACCCCAA
rnacentral:snRNA from 2 species